rnacentral:rRNA from 1 species
GACGAACGCUGGCGGCGUGCCUAACACAUGCAAGUCGAACGAGAAUCAUUUGAACAGAGGCUUCGGCCGACGGGAAGGUGAGGAAAGUGGCGAACGGGUGAGUAACGCGUGAGAAACCUACCUUUCAGUGGGGGACAACAGUUGGAAACGACUGCUAAUACCGCAUGAUGCAGCGAGGGGGCAUCCUCUUGCUGCCAAAAGCUUAAUGUGCUGAAAGAUGGUCUCGCGUCUGAUUAGCUAGUUGGUGAGGUAACGGCCCACCAAGGCGACGAUCAGUAGCCGGACUGAGAGGUUGACCGGCCACAUUGGGACUGAGAUACGGCCCAGACUCCUACGGGAGGCAGCAGUGGGGAAUAUUGGGCAAUGGGCGCAAGCCUGACCCAGCAAACGCCGCGUGAAGGAAGAAGGCUUUC